rnacentral:rRNA from 1 species
CUACGGGAUGCAGCAGUGGGGAAUCUUGGACAAUGGGCGCAAGCCUGAUCCAGCCAUGCCGCGUGAGUGAUGAAGGCCUUAGGGUCGUAAAGCUCUUUCGCCGGGGAUGAUAAUGACAGUACCUGGUAAAGAAACCCCGGCUAACUCCGUGCCAGCAGCCGCGGUAAUACGGAGGGGGUUAGCGUUGUUCGGAAUUACUGGGCGUAAAGCGCGCGUAGGCGGACCAGAAAGUUGGGGGUGAAAUCCCGGGGCUCAACCCCGGAACGGCCUCCAAAACUCUUGGUCUUGAGUUCGAGAGAGGUGAGUGGAAUUCCGAGUGUAGAGGUGAAAUUCGUAGAUAUUCGGAGGAACACCAGUGGCGAAGGCGACUCACUGGCUCGAUACUGACGCUGAGGUGCGAAAGUGUGGGGAGCAAACAGGAUUAGAUACCCUGGUAGUC